CGUGCUAAUCUGCGAUAAGCGCCGGUAAGGUGAUAUGAACCGUUAUAACCGGCGAUUUCCGAAUGGGGAAACCCAGUGUGAUUCGUCACACUAUCAUUAACUGAAUCCAUAGGUUAAUGAGGCGAACCGGGGGAACUGAAACAUCUAAGUACCCCGAGGAAAAGAAAUCAACCGAGAUUCCCCCAGUAGCGGCGAGCGAACGGGGAGGAGCCCAGAGCCUGAAUCAGCAUGUGUGUUAGUGGAAGCGUCUGGAAAGGCGCGCGAUACAGGGUGACAGCCCCGUACACAAAAGCGCAUGUGCUGUGAGCUCGAUGAGUAGGGCGGGACACGUGGUAUCCUGUCUGAAUAUGGGGGGACCAUCCUCCAAGGCUAAAUACUCCUGACUGACCGAUAGUGAACCAGUACCGUGAGGGAAAGGCGAAAAGAACCCCGGCGAGGGGAGUGAAAAAGAACCUGAAACCGUGUACGUACAAGCAGUGGGAGCACCCUUUGAGGUGUGACUGCGUACCUUUUGUAUAAUGGGUCAGCGACUUAUAUUCUGUAGCAAGGUUAACCGAAUAGGGGAGCCGUAGGGAAACCGAGUCUUAACCGGGCGUUAAGUUGCAGGGUAUAGACCCGAAACCCGGUGAUCUAGCCAUGGGCAGGUUGAAGGUUGGGUAACACUAACUGGAGGACCGAACCGACUAAUGUUGAAAAAUUAGCGGAUGACCUGUGGCUGGGGGUGAAAGGCCAAUCAAACCGGGAGAUAGCUGGUUCUCCCCGAAAGCUAUUUAGGUAGCGCCUCGUGAAUUCAUCUCCGGGGGUAGAGCACUGUUUCGGCUAGGGGGCCAUCCCGGCUUACCAACCCGAUGCAAACUGCGAAUACCGGAGAAUGUUAUCACGGGAGACACACGGCGGGUGCUAACGUCCGUCGUGAAGAGGGAAACAACCCAGACCGCCAGCUAAGGUCCCAAAGUCAUGGUUAAGUGGGAAACGAUGUGGGAAGGCCCAGACAGCCAGGAUGUUGGCUUAGAAGCAGCCAUCAUUUAAAGAAAGCGUAAUAGCUCACUGGUCGAGUCGGCCUGCGCGGAAGAUGUAACGGGGCUAAACCAUGCACCGAAGCUGCGGCAGCGACACUGUGUGUUGUUGGGUAGGGGAGCGUUCUGUAAGCCUGUGAAGGUGUGUCGUGAGGCAUGCUGGAGGUAUCAGAAGUGCGAAUGCUGACAUAAGUAACGAUAAAGCGGGUGAAAAGCCCGCUCGCCGGAAGACCAAGGGUUCCUGUCCAACGUUAAUCGGGGCAGGGUGAGUCGACCCCUAAGGCGAGGCCGAAAGGCGUAGUCGAUGGGAAACGGGUUAAUAUUCCCGUACUUGGUGUUACUGCGAAGGGGGGACGGAGAAGGCUAUGUUGGCCGGGCGACGGUUGUCCCGGUUUAAGCGUGUAGGUGUGUGUUCCAGGUAAAUCCGGUUCACUUUAACACUGAGGCGUGACGACGAGGCACUACGGUGCUGAAGCAACAAAUGCCCUGCUUCCAGGAAAAGCCUCUAAGCAUCAGGUAACAUCAAAUCGUACCCCAAACCGACACAGGUGGUCAGGUAGAGAAUACCAAGGCGCUUGAGAGAACUCGGGUGAAGGAACUAGGCAAAAUGGUGCCGUAACUUCGGGAGAAGGCACGCUGACACGUAGGUGAAGUGAUUUACUCAUGGAGCUGAAGUCAGUCGAAGAUACCAGCUGGCUGCAACUGUUUAUUAAAAACACAGCACUGUGCAAACACGAAAGUGGACGUAUACGGUGUGACGCCUGCCCGGUGCCGGAAGGUUAAUUGAUGGGGUCAGCGCAAGCGAAGCUCCUGAUCGAAGCCCCGGUAAACGGCGGCCGUAACUAUAACGGUCCUAAGGUAGCGAAAUUCCUUGUCGGGUAAGUUCCGACCUGCACGAAUGGCGUAAUGAUGGCCAGGCUGUCUCCACCCGAGACUCAGUGAAAUUGAACUCGCUGUGAAGAUGCAGUGUACCCGCGGCAAGACGGAAAGACCCCGUGAACCUUUACUAUAGCUUGACACUGAACAUUGAGCCUUGAUGUGUAG
rnacentral:rRNA from 1 species